AAAUUUUUUUUUCUGACCGUUGCCCGGGCCUAGCGCUCGCAGCUCGCGUUGCCUCUUCCCUGCCGCGAGUUCUUCACCCAGCCACAGCCGCUGCGUCCUCGUCGUCCCACGCACUCUCACUCUCCUGCCACUCACCCUCAUCUCUCUCUCUCGCUGCCUCCCUUGUCUGCCUCCCUGCGCCGUGUCGCUCCCUCCCGAGUCCCUCCCUACCUGUGCGUGAACGCUUGAUUUUGCUGCAGACCAUCACGGAUACAUUCUUGAUUCUCCUCCUUGCGCCUCCUAAGCGAGCGGAUAGAGGCCUGUACGUCGAAAGGAAACAUAGGGCGUGGCCUGAAAAUCCAUCGCAAGGCUUCCGAGUCAAGAGAAGACUUGAAAUCUGCGUCCCCAAGAAAUUUCGUCUGCACCGGUGUCCGCUUGUUUCUUUAUAAGCCUCUAUGUGUUGGGGUCGAUUGACAGACGAAGAAGAACAACUCAGGAGAUUGCUUUUCCCUCCCCUGCUCCUCCUGCUCCGUCACCUAUUUUUCAUCUUCUCUCAUUCUCCCAUACCUUCACCAAGGUCAGUUCGCUUCUCUCCCCCUUUAAAAUUUUUGGUUGAUUUUCCAGAAAUUUAGCUCUGCCAUCUUUGUUCUUUUUGUUUUCUGGUUUCCUGUCCGUGCGUGCGUGACUUGCCUUCCUUUUAUCUGUUCGCUUCUUUUUGUUGUUUUGUUUUCUGCCGCCUAUUUCACACGGUUCUGCAGACUUGCCUUCAUUUUAUCUGAAUCUGUGUUCAUCAGAAGCAUUCAUUAAGAAGCAUGACAGUAGUUGAUGUUGAUGCCUCUUCUUGUCUUGUAACGAAUAUCGUGAUCAUAUAGCAGCUUCAACUUCAUCAGAAGCUGUUGCUGCACCAUUUGUCGUGUCAUAGCUCUAAGCUGAGAUGAAACCUCAUCAAUUGCAGAGUUCAGCUGAGCUAUCUUCUCUGUUAAGAUCUUACGUGUUUUCUGCCAUCAGCAGCAUCAAUCAGAACCCGUCAGCUCAUCAAGUCUGAUUUGUAUUUCAGCAGAACCUUGAACUUUAUUUAUAAAUUAAGAAGUUUUGUUGGAAAAGUUUGAAGCAGGAAAAUCUUAUCUCCGACUUAAGGGGCUGUUUGAUGGCCUGAAAAUGUGGAAUUGGAAAUAUAUUACCAGAAAUAUAUUUCCUGGAAAAAAUGAAUGGGAAAAAUCUUUCCGAUUCCAA